UUGGUGAGGUAAAGGCUUACCAAGGCKACGAUCAGUAGCUGGUCUGAGAGGACGACCAGCCACACUGGGACUGAGACACGGCCCAGACUCCUACGGGAGGCAGCAGUGGGGAAUUUUGGACAAUGGGGGAAACCCUGAUCCAGCCAURCCGCGUGAGUSAAG
rnacentral:rRNA from 1 species